rnacentral:rRNA from 1 species
GACGAACGCUGGCGGCGUGCUUAACACAUGCAAGUCGAACGGAAAGGCCCUGCUUUUGUGGGGUGCUCGAGUGGCGAACGGGUGAGUAACACGUGGGUACCUUGCCUUUGACUUUGGGUAACCUUCCGAAAGCUGGGGUAAUACCGGAUACGAACCUCGUGUGGAAGGGGGGGGCUUGCAAGGUUCGUGCGGUUGGGGUGGGACUUGGGGCUUAUCCGCUUGUGGGGGGGGAAGUGGUUUACCAGGGCUUAGACGGGGAUCCGGCAUGAGAGGGUGACCGGCCACAUGGGGACUGAGAUACGGCCCAGACUGCUACGGGGGGCAGCAGUGGAGAAUAUUGCACAGUGGGCGGAAGCCUGAUGCAGCAACGCCGCGUGCGGGAUGAAGGCCUUCGGGUUGUAAACCGCUUGCGCCUGAGACGAACCGUGAGUGACGGUAAUGGGUAAAGAAGCACCGGCUAACUACGUG